UCCCUGGUGGCUCAGAGAGUAAAGAAUCUGCCUGCAAUGCAGGAGAUCCAGGUUUGAUCCCUGGGUGGGGAA
rnacentral:tRNA from 1 species